AUUGAACGCUGGCGGCAGGCCUAACACAUGCAAGUCGAACGAGUGGCGGACGUGUGAGUAAUGUCUUGGAAACUGCCCGAUUGAGGGGGAUAACUACUGGAAACGGUAGCUAAUACCGCAUACCCUCGGAUGUGCCCAGAGGGGAUUAGCUAGUAGGUGGGGUAAAGGCUCACCUAGUCGACGAUCCCUAGCUGGUCUGAGAGGAUGACCAGACACAGUGGAACGGAGAAACGGGCCAGACUCCUACGGGAGGCAGCAGGGGGGAAUAUUGCACAAUGGGCGCAAGCCUGAUGCAGCCAUGCCGCGUGUAUGAAGAAGGCCUUCGGGUUGUAAAGUACUUUCAGCGGGGAGGCGUUACCCGCAGAAGAAGCACCGGCUAACUCCGUGCCAGCAGCCGCGGUAAUUC
rnacentral:rRNA from 1 species